rnacentral:rRNA from 1 species
GAUGAACGCUGGCGGCGUGCCUAAUACAUGCAAGUCGAGCGAAGCGGGGACGGGUGAGUAACACGUGGAUAACCUCCUAUAAGACUGGGAUAACUUCGGGAAACAGGAGCUAAACCGGAUACUUAUCGAUGGAUCCGCGCUGCAUUUGCUAGUUGGUAAGGUAACGGCUUACCAAGGAAACGAUGCAUACCCGACCUGAGAGGGUGAGCGUCCACACUGGAACGGAGACACGGUCCAGCGGCCUACGGAGGGCAGCAGUAGGGAAUCGUCCGCAAUGGGCUAAAGCCUGACGGAGCAACGCCGCGUGAGUGAUGAAGGUCUUCGGAUCGUAAAACUCUGUUAUUAGGGAAGCGGUACCUAAUCAGAAAGCCACGGCUAACUACGUGCCAGCAGCCGCGGUAAUAC